rnacentral:rRNA from 1 species
UGGGGAAUAUUGGACAAUGGGCGAAAGCCUGAUCCAGCAACGCCGCGUGAGGGAUGACGGCCUUCGGGUUGUAAACCUCUUUCAGUACCGACGAAGCGCCAAUAACGGUGGUGACGGUAGGUACAGAAGAAGGACCGGCCAACUACGUGCCAGCAGCCGCGGUAAUACGUAGGGUCCGAGCGUUGUCCGGAAUUAUUGGGCGUAAAGGGCUCGUAGGCGGUCUGUUGCGUCGGGAGUGAAAACUUACAGCUUAACUGUGAGCGUGCUUCCGAUACGGGCAGACUUGAGGUAUUCAGGGGAGAACGGAAUUCCUGGUGUAGCGGUGAAAUGCGCAGAUAUCAGGAGGAACACCGGUGGCGAAGGCGGUUCUCUGGGAAUAUCCUGACGCUGAGGAGCGAAAGUGUGGGGAGCGAACAGG